rnacentral:rRNA from 1 species
GACGAACGCUGGCGGCGUGCUUAACACAUGCAAGUCGAACGAAGUGGCGAACGGGUGAGUAACGCGUAAACAACCUGCCCUUCAGAGGGGGACAAAAGGUGGAAACGACUGCUAAUACCGCAUACUGAAGGAGGGGAGUGCGUCUGAUUAGCUGGUGGGAGGGGGAACGGCCCACCAAGGCCAUGAUCAGGAGCCGGUCGGAGAAGCUGAACGGCCACAUUGGGACUGAGACACGGCCCAGACUCCUACGGGAGGCAGCAGUGGGGAAUCGUCCGCAAUGGACGAAAGUCUGACGGAGCAACGCCGCGUGAGUGAUGACGGCCUUCGGGUUGUAAAGCUCUGUUAAUCGGGACGCGGUACCGGAAUAGAAAGCCACGGCUAACUACGUGCCAGCAGCCGCGGUAAUUC